UGAUUUAGGAUCAAUUUAUUGGUUACACUCCCCUAUCACCAGUGAUUCUUUGUCGUAAGCUGACAUUUUGAAAAAGGUAUACUGUUGACUAUCAAUUUGCAUGAUUAGUUACAGAUGUCGACUCGGACUACUGCAAAAGACAAUAAUUCAGUUCACUGAUUUAGAUUGAAUAGUGGUUCGGUUAAUUCUCCUUUUCCCCAAACAAGGCAAGAACAUUAAAGAUAAAGGGAAACUAUAAACAAAAGAGAUUAUCAACAAAAAUAGAUUUCAGACGUCAACAAAGCCUAAAUGGUCAGACAUCUUGGUUUUCAUGAUCAUCAUUCAACAGGUCAAUAAUGAACAGA